GACGAACGCUGGCGGCGUGCCUAAUACAUGCAAGUUGAGCGCUGAAGGUUGGUACUUGUACCAACUGGAUGAGCAGCGAACGGGUGAGUAACGCGUGGGGAAUCUGCCUUUGAGCAGGGGACAACAUUUGGAAACGAAUGCUAAUACCGCAUAAAAACUUUAAACACAAGUUUUAAGUUUGAAAGAUGCAAUUGCAUCACUCAAAGAUGAUCCCGCGUUGUAUUAGCUAGUUGGUGAGGUAAAGGCUCACCAAGGCGAUGAUACAUAGCCGACCUGAGAGGGUGAUCGGCCACAUUGGGACUGAGACACGGCCCAAACUCCUACGGGAGGCAGCAGUAGGGAAUCUUCGGCAAUGGACGAAAGUCUGACCGAGCAACGCCACGUGAGUGAAGAAGGUUUUCGGAUCGUAAAACUCUGUUGGUAGAGAAGAACGUUGGUGAGAGUGGAAAGCUCACCAAGUGACGGUAACUACCCAGAAAGGGACGGCUAACUACGUG
rnacentral:rRNA from 1 species